AGUGAACGCUGGCGGUAGGCCUAACACAUGCAAGUCGAACGGCAGCACAGUAAGAGCUUGCUCUUACGGGUGGCGAGUGGCGGACGGGUGAGGAAUACAUCGGAAUCUACUUUUUCGUGGGGGAUAACGUAGGGAAACUUACGCUAAUACCGCAUACGACCUACGGGUGAAAGCAGGGGAUCUUCGGACCUUGCGCGAUUGAAUGAGCCGAUGCCGGAUUAGCUAGUUGGCGGGGUAAAGGCCCACCAAGGCGACGAUCCGUAGCUGGUCUGAGAGGAUGAUCAGCCACACUGGAACUGAGACACGGUCCAGACUCCUACGGGAGGCAGCAGUGGGGAAUAUUGGACAAUGGGCGCAAGCCUGAUCCAGCCAUACCGCGUGGGUGAAGAAGGCCUUCGGGUUGUAAAGCCCUUUUGUUGGGAAAGAAAAGCAGCAGGUUAAUACCCCGCUGUUCUGACGGGACCCAAAGAAUAAGCACCGGCUAACUUCGU
rnacentral:rRNA from 1 species